CAGUGAUUCCCGGGGUGCUGCCCGAUUUAAUAUCGGGGGCUGAGAUCAAACCCGUAGAACCUGAUCAGGAUAAUACCUGCGCAGGGAAGGAUGAGUCCUCACCU
rnacentral:ncRNA from 2 species